UGUGGAAUGAUGAAGAAUUUGACGGAUACAAUUGAUAUUAUAAAUAUAUGAUAUUAUAAUCAGCUACUUCUGACUACA